rnacentral:pre_miRNA from 1 species
UAGCCAGAGCAGACUGGUGUGCUCCAGCCAUCUCUGGAAGAGUAUCUCUUUAAGUGGGUCACUCUUUAAGUAUGACCAGGAGG